rnacentral:lncRNA from 1 species
CUUAUCAAAACAUCCACAGGGGUUGGGGGGGUAUGAUGGGGGAAGAGAUGUGAGAGUACCCCUCCCGUUACAGCUGGGUAAUUGCGCCUCAGGCGCCCCUCAGCCCCUACUCAGGACAGCCAAGGCUACACCUUCUCUCCCUACAUCCCACCCCAGGGUUAGGAAGAUGGAGCAUCCACAAUGCUGAGAAAAAAACAGAUGAAGGUGUCAGCUGAGAAUGCACACGGAGGAAUACAGAGGCAGAGAGGCAGGGAAGCAAAGAGAAACCUCCACAUGCACAGGCAUAGAGACCACCCCUACCAGCAUUUGCCGCACCCCCCUCCCCAUCUGCCUCUGCUCUGUGCAGACAGACCUCCCACCCUUCAUUCGGUUGGUGUCAGAAGAGGUUAUGGCCAAGUCCUGCUGGCAGGGAGCCUUUUCUUCUCUUUAAGCAGCAAGUCUUGUCAAGCCUACCUUCAAAAUAUGUUCUGAAUCUGCCACUUCUCCACCACUGCCCCCAUUCGAAGCUGCCAUUGUCUCUCCUUAGCGACUGCAACAGCCUCUGGUUUCCCUACUUCCGAUCCUGUGCCCCUAAAACCCACUAUUCUCAUCAGUCAGGGUGAUCUUCUAAAAACAAAUCAAAUCUAAUCCAGCAAAAACUCUCCCAAGAGAAACAAGUGCAUUUGUCCCACAAAAAAGACAAGUACGAAUAUUUACAUAGCAGGUUUAUUCAUAAUAUUC